UACAGAGGGUGCGAGCGUUGUCCGGAAUCACUGGGCGUAAGGCGCGUAGGUGGCGACCCAAGUCGAUGGUGAAAGCUCGCCGCUCAACGGCGAGUCGGCCACUGAUACUGGGUUGCUGGAGCACUGUAGAGGCAGAUGGAAUUCCGGGUGUAGCGGUGGAAUGCGUAGAGAUCCGGAAGAACACCCGUGGCGAAGGCGGUUCUCUGGGACGGUACUGGACGCUGAGACGCGAAAGCGUGGGGAGCGAACAGG
rnacentral:rRNA from 1 species